rnacentral:tRNA from 2 species
UAGGAAAUAAUAUAAUGGAAGUAUAAGGAGUUUUGAUCUCCUUAGUGUGGGUUCGACUCCCACUUUUCUAU